UUUUAAGAAGAACUUGUAUGUGCCUUUAAAAGGAUUAAUCUAGUCGUAUUUGUUGAAAAGAAAUAUUCAUGUGUUACUGUGUGUUCUAGUUAGUAUAGCUCGAUUAUCUUACAUUAACAAUCGUUCUUCUGAAUCACAUUUAAAAAACUUGAACCGUCUUUAGAUUUCUGACCUUUGUCAGGAGAGUCUCUCAUAUAGUGGCCAACUUUGCAACACCGAUAGCAUAAUACCUUUUUAAUGUUCUUCUUGCUGGUACCCUCCUGACACUUCUAUAAUUGCCUUCC
rnacentral:lncRNA from 1 species